rnacentral:rRNA from 1 species
AUUGAACGCUGGCGGCAUGCCUUACACAUGCAAGUCGAACGGUAACGGGCCUUCGGGUGCCGACGAGUGGCGAACGGGUGAGUAAUGUAUCGGAACGCACCUUUCAGUGGGGGAUAACGUAGCGAAAGUUACGCUAAUACCGCAUAUUCUGUGAGCAGGAAAGCAGGGGAUCGCAAGACCUUGCGCUGAUUGAGCGGCCGAUAUCAGAUUAGCUAGUUGGUGAGGUAAAGGCUCACCAAGGCGACGAUCUGUAGCGGGUCUGAGAGGAUGAUCCGCCACACUGGAACUGAGACACGGUCCAGACUCCUACGGGAGGCAGCAGUGGGGAAUUUUGGAGAAUGGGGGCAACCCUGAUCCAGCCAUGCCGCGUGAGUGAAGAAGGCCUUCGGGUUGUAAAGCUCUUUCGGCCGGGAAGAAAUCGUAUCAGCUAAUACCUGGUGCGGAUGACGGUACCGGCAUAAGAAGCACCGGCUAACUACGUGCCAGCAGCCGCGGUAAUAC